ACUCCCUCUCUAAAGUCAAUAAACAUACCCUCAGGUGAGGAUUGAAAAUAAUAACAAUAAUGUGUCUGUCAGAAGGGACAGAAAAGGGUCAUUACAGAGUCUGACCCCGCAAUGACAGCCCGACCAUGUCCGCCGCAGAGGACCUGGCCCACGGCCAGUACAGGAGCAGCCCCGGAGGCACACUAGCCAUGCAGUGACUGUCAUUGAGGAUUAGCCUUCAGUUGUUACUUUGGGACGUUGAGAUAUUCCCUGAGAAACAAUCUCCCUCAGAGAGCUGAUGAAUCCAGUUUCUGAUUUAUGCCCCCGCUCUGAUCGUGGGGAAAGCACCAAGAAACCGCCACGAGGGGUCCUAGGGACAGCCAGACUCUCCUGGUAGAUCCACACCAGCCUCGCCAUGGACUUCACAUCUACGUCCUGAACAAACACCCAUUGUCGGCCCUCUGAGCUGGACUCAGCCGGACAGUCCUUCUGCCUGAGUCGCCUGGAACCUCUGUCAUGGCUGCAGCUCCCUGGCACGGAGACUAGGGCUGGACGGCCUAAGACGCCUCGCUCGCACCUGGCAGCUGGGGCUGGCAAAGGUUGAAGACAUGGACAAAAGAUUAAAGAAAAAGAAGGAUGAGAAAAGGCCAAGAAGCAGGUUUGACAGUGAGAAGGUCACCAUGACUUCCCAGAAGAGCAGAGGCGGCUGCGGUUGCGCAGGGAGCAUCCUGCUCUCCGACAUUCAAGGUUGGAGAGAUCUCCAGGGCUUGACAUGAUCCUGAGGCUGCCCUCCUUCCACUUCAAACCUGUUAAAGCGAAGAAAAUCUUUCAAAUCUUCAAAAUAAAACAAACACUGACUUUCCUUCCUACCCUAAAGGGGAGAGGCGUGCUAGAUUCUCCUCGCCCUUCUCAGCGUCUCUCCCACCGGCUGGCUGGCCAUCGGGCCCCGUCAGGACUCGCAUCCAAGGGAGACAAGCGUCGGUGGACAGACUGCUAUUUACUCCCUAGCAUAGCCCUGCUGUGUUUUCAUAGCUCAGAAUAGUUCCUUGGACCUCUCCAGGCCUGAGGGGGGUGGCUGGGGGGGACCUCACUGUUUGUUUUCAUGACAAUUCCAGGCCUCACCUCUUCCUCUUUCUCUGCAUCAUGAUCCUCAUUUGGGAACCCUCAGAAGGGGUAGGUUGUGGGUUAAGAGGGUCCAAGACUACUAAUUUCCUAAUUAUGCUCCCCAACUGGGUUCCAGAAGACAG